GACGAACGCUGGCGGCGUGCUUAACACAUGCAAGUCGAACGGAAAGGCCCUGCUUUUGUUGGGUGCUCGAGUGGCGAACGGGUGAGUAACACGUGUGUAACCUGCCCCUGACUUUGGGAUAACUUCAGGAAACUGGGGCUCAUACCGGGUAGGAGAUCCUGCAGCAUGGUGGGGGUUGGAAAGAUUCGGCGGUUGGGGCUGGACUCGCGGGUUAUCCGCUUGUUUGUGGGGUAGUGGCUUACCAAGGCUUCGAAGGGUAGGCGGCCUGGGAGGGUGACCGGCCACAAGGGUACUAAGGUACGGCCCAGACUCCUACGGGAGGCAGCAGGCGGGAAUAUUGCGGAAUGAGGGGAAGCCUGAGACAGAAACGCUGCGAGCGGGAUGACGUCCUUCGAGGGAUGAACCGAUGUCGCAGGUGACAUAGCGGGAGUGACGGUAAUGAGUAAAAAAGCACCGGCUAACUACGUG
rnacentral:rRNA from 1 species